GAGCAUCUGUCCGCGUCCCGGAGGGGCGGGCGGGUGAGGGCGUUCGUGCGCCGAGACCCCCAGUUUCGACCGUGCGAGGUCUGACUCGGAGCUGCCAUGAUUGAAGUAGUGGCAGAGCUGAGCCGGGGGCCCGUAUUUCUGGCGGGAGAGGCGCUGGAGUGUGUGGUGACCGUCACCAACCCCCUGCCCCCCACGGCUACUUCUGCAUCCAGUGAGGCUCUGGCUUGGGCCAGUGCCCAAAUCCACUGCCAGUUCCAUGCCAGUGAGAGUCGAGUAGCCUUGCCUCCCCCUGACUCUAGUCAGCCAGAUGUCCAGCCUGACAGCCAGACUGUCUUUCUGCCCCACCGAGGUGAGAGGGGUCAGUGUAUUCUUUCCACUCCACCAAAAAUUCUAUUCUGUGACCUGAGGCUAGACCCUGGAGAAUCUAAAUCAUACUCCUACAGUGAAGUGCUGCCCAUAGAGGGACCACCCUCCUUUCGGGGUCAGUCAGUCAAGUACGUCUACAAACUGACCAUUGGCUGCCAGCGUGUCAACUCACCCAUCACUUUACUCAGGGUCCCUUUAAGGGUUCUUGUACUGACUGGCCUUCAGGAUGUCCGGUUUCCCCAGGAUGAGGCUGUAGCCCCAUCCAGCCCAUUCUUGGAGGAGGAUGAAGGUGGAAAGAAGGAUUCAUGGCUAGCUGAGCUGGCUGGGGAGCGUCUCAUGGCUGCUACAUCCUGCCGCAGCCUCCAUCUGUACAAUAUCAGUGAUGGCCGAGGGAAAGUUGGAACAUUUGGUAUCUUCAAAUCCGUGUACAGACUUGGCGAGGAUGUGGUGGGGACCUUAAACUUAGGGGAAGGAACCGUAGCUUGUUUGCAGUUUUCGGUAAGCUUACAGACUGAGGAACGUGUACAGCCUGAGUACCAGCGGCGCCGUGGGGCAGGAGGUGUCCCCUCUGUGUCUCAUGUGACCCACGCCCGGCACCAGGAGUCCUGCCUACAUACAACCAGAACCAGCUUCUCCCUCCCCAUCCCUCUCAGCUCCACCCCAGGCUUCUGCACAGCUAUUGUGUCCCUGAAGUGGCGACUCCAUUUUGAAUUUGUAACAUCUCGAGAACCAGGAUUGUUACUCCUACCCCCUGUGGAGCAGCCUGAACCUGCCACUUGGACAGGUCCUGAGCAAGUGCCUGUAGACACCUUCAGCUGGGACCUCCCCAUCAAGUUAUGUUCAUUGAAGUGAUAGGUGAUGCCAUGAUUGUGGAUGAACUCACCAAGGAAAUGAGUCUGGAAGGAAGAAUGUAGACAUCUGAGAACUAGAGCUUAAGGGAAAAGCCCGCAGUUCAGAAGAGGAAGAGGAUCUUCACCAUGGAAUCACUGGCUCUCUAUGAAGCAAUUUCCCUUGGAAAACUACUUGUCUGGACUGUGUUUUUACAGUUCAUAUUUUAGAACACAUAUCUGGAUAGUCUCUUUCAGGUUGUCCUGUCAAUCUUUGGACUGUUCCAUCCUUUGAUUUGCUGAGAUAGGAUGAAAUUCCUUUUCACCAACAGUCGGGGGCCAGGAACUAGAGUUACCAUCCCUUCGUGUUAAAGAAGUGGCUGCUGUCCUAAGGCUUCCAUUUCUACUGGGCUUGAGGCAAGAGACAUGGUGGUGGGGGUGGGGGGAUGCCAUUGGCCUCUGUGCCCUAGGGAAUCCAACUGUAUGUUUCUCAAAGGUAAGGGCUGUAUCAUUUGGCUUUCUUUGUAUUAACUCUUAACAGCUUGUGGAAGGCUGCCGGUAUACAAUAAAUAAAUACCGUGCCUAAGAAUAAAA